UUUCGUAGACCAGCGCCUUAUCCAUUGGGCCAUGAAGUCUUUCUGUUGUGAAGGAUACUUGUAACUAUAAUAAAACAAAAAAGAGCGUGGCGUGAGGUCUAUUUUUUUUUGGUUUCCUCGUCACCGUCGCUCACCCGCCGUCUGUACCGAAUGAUGUUUCUUUAUAAGUUGUUAUGUUAUUAAGCUGUCUCCAAUAUAUCAAAAGGAGAAAGAAAUUUGAGAAGAGAGAGUACUGGAUAAGAUAGACAAGGGAGAGAGAGAGAGAGAUGAUUUAGUUUUAAUCUUUUGAAGAAGUGUUUCUGUUUUAGGUAGAUAAUCUACAGCUAACUAUUACAAGAGAGAGAGAGAGCAGAACUCAAUCUGUGGUAUAGAUUGAUCAGAAAGAUCGUGUGGGUGGAAUCUGAAAGUUUUUAAUUUUUUUCCCACUAAAAAUAGAAAUAGUUUUAAAAUAGGAGGCAACAGAUCAAUGGGGAAGAAGCAGAAAUCAUCAUCAUCAUUGAGAAGCAAAGCAGUUCACUUUGUCACCGAUCUCACCACCGGUCUCCUUAAUCCCAUCUCCGCUCCUCCUCCUCUUCCGGAUGAGGAAGAAGAUGAGUCCAAGAGAGAUCAACUAGAGUCUAAAGACGAACCAGACACUUCUUCCUUCUCUGCUUUCCUUGGCUCCCUCUUGUCCUCACAGGAUCAAGAAGAAGAAGAGGCUGAAUCAAGCGAUACUUCAUCAUCCUCCUCCUCUUCAAUGAAGGAAACUAGUGUUGCAAAGAAGAGCUUGUUGUCCAAGUAUAAACAGCAUUUCAAGAACUUUUACCAGGCUGUUAAGCUUUCCAAGGAUCGAAAGCCUCUUUCGGGGAAUACUGUUGAGGACAAUGGCUUGGAGUUGGAGAUGAAGCAGAUGCAGGAUAAAGAUGACACAGCAACAACAGCCAUUCUUAUACCUGACAUUUCAGAGCCCUCUUUGCUUUUGACUGACCUCUCUAGACGUUCCCUUUAUUCUUCUCUUCCUGCUCUUGUUCAAGGCAGGAAAUGGAUUUUGCUUUAUAGUACAUGGAGGCAUGGUAUAUCUCUGUCAACGCUCUACAGAAAAAGCCUCCUCUGGCCUGGUCUCAGUCUACUGGUAAACUCAAAACACGUUUGGUUUCAUUUCGUUAUCUAUCGACAAAACCAAUGUUGGUUUCAGGUUGUUGGAGACAGGAAAGGUUCGGUGUUUGGUGGGCUUGUGGAGGCGCCUUUGAUACCAACUGAUAAGAAGUAUCAGGGAACCAACAGUACAUUUGUUUUCACUGAUAAGUCUGGACAACCCACUAUAUACCGUCCCACAGGAGCAAAUAGGUUUUACACAUUAUGCUCCAAGGACUUUCUAGCUCUCGGUGGUGGUGGACGGUUUGCUCUCUAUCUAGACAGUGAGCUGUAAGGCUAAGUGGAUCAAGUGCUUACUCGGAGACAUACGGGAACGCUUGUCUUGCAACCUCUCAGGACUUUGAUGUUAAGGAAGUGGAGUUAUGGGGAUUUGUGUAUGGCUCAAAGUAUGAUGAGAUUCUAGCUCUCAGCAAAACAACAGAGCCUGGUGUAUGCAGGUGGUGAUGAUCAUCAUGAUGAAAUGGAAUUUUUUUUUUAAAAAAAAGUGAGGUUAUCUUAUGUAAAUGUGUAGUUAUAUAAAAUGUUUUCUUACCUUGACUUAAAUCACAUCUCAAGUACACUCACUUGUAACCAAGAAACCUUUUUCUUGUUGUUGUUGUUGUAAUGGUUUUGGAAUUGAUAUGUCAAAACAUAAAACUGGUUGAAAUUUCAUCAAUAAAAAUUGGUUUAUGCA